rnacentral:rRNA from 1 species
AUUGAACGCUGGCGGCAUGCCUUACACAUGCAAGUCGAACGGUAACAGGUCUUCGGAUGCUGACGAGUGGCGAACGGGUGAGCAAUACAUCGGAACGUGCCUAGUAGUGGGAGAUAACUACUCGAAAGAGUGGCUAAUACCGCAUGAGAUCUACGGAUGAAAGCAGGGGAUCGCAAGACCUUGUGCUACUAGAGCGGCCGAUGGCAGAUUAGGUGGUUGGAGGGAUAAAAGCUUACAAAGCCGACGAUCUGUAGCUGGUCUGAGAGGACGAUCAGCCACACUGGGACUGAGACACGGCCCAGACUCCCACGGGAGGCAGCAGUGGGGAAUUUUGGACAAUGGGCGAAAGCCUGAUCCAGCAAUGCCGCGUGCAGGAUGAAGGCCUUCGGGUUGUAACCUGCUUUUGUACGGAACGAAAAGCCCCGGGUUAAUACCCUGGGGUCAUGACGGUACCGUAAGAAUAAGCACCGGCUAACUACGUGCCAGCCGCCGCAGUAA